GAGAUCAGGUGCCUUUUUUCGGGAUACCCAACGAAAAUUGUAGGGAGCGCUGAUAUUCAAAAAUAUAUCGCAAAAUGCGACUCGUAAUAUACAAGCAGCUUUUGCUCUAGGCGAUUUUACGCGAUUGCACCAGUUUCUCGGACAGUUCAACAUGUUAAACGUGUUUCAAGUGGUUCCUAUAGGAUAUUAGGGCAUCUUAAGUGCUGUGAUAUUUACAUUGACUGUUUGUGAAGUUUUUACCCUUCUGGAUAUGGGAUAUGGAGUUUUUCCAAGAAUGGUCGGAGACCAAGACGUCUUCAACAACCAAAACAACCACUAUGACAACACCUGCCAAGUUAUAUGGUAAGGAUUUAAGUGAAUAUGAAGAAAUUGAUGUAGAUGACCUUCUCAAUAAGUUAACUGCAGAAGAAAUAAACAUUUUGGCCAAAGAAGUUGACCCUGACGAUUCCUUUUUGCCUCCUUCACAAAGAUGUAGUUAUGAUUGUGAAAAAGAUCCCACAGGUCCUUUGAAUAGGAAACAAUUGAUUGAGCAUAUAAAUAAACAGGCUAUUGAAACUCCUGAUAAACCUGAACUCAAACCUUAUGUGCCAGGAGUUGUAAGGGGGAAGAAAUGGAUACCACCUCCUCAACCAAUGAAAGAACAAGAAGCUGAUGAACAAAUCGCCAUUGAUUUAGGAGAUGAAUAUGAACAAGCUCUCUCAAGUGCCUCACAAGAUGAAAUUAUUGAUUUGGCCGCCAUCCUUGGUUUCCAUUCGAUGAUGAAUCAAGAUCAGUAUCAUGCAUCUUUGUUGAACAAGGGGCAACCAGUUGGUUUGGGUUGGGAUGGUAUUACCAAAGCCACAAAACAAAAAAUAUUCCCAAUGGAACCUCCAAAUCCAAAUGACCCUGAUGAGACAAUACAGAAGGUAGAAGAUGAUGAACCAAAAUACAUUGAUCUCAAUUGGAACAACAUUAAGAACAUAUCAAAUGAGAAAUUUGAUAAGCUCUUUGGUGCUUUGGAAAAGAAUACCCAUUUGGAAACAUUGUCUUUAGCUAAUACUGGAAUGACUGACAGGGAAGCAGAGAAGUUAGCUGAAUUGUUGGAGAAAAAUGACACAAUUAGAGUAGUUAAUGUAGAAACUAACCUCAUUUCACCAAGUGGUAUUGUUAGGCUCAUAAAAUCAUUAUUGAAGUUGAAAAGUGUUGAAGAAUUCAGAGCCUCAAAUCAGAGGUCACAAGUUCUCGGCAACAAGAUAGAAAUGGAAAUCACACAGCUCAUUGAGAAGAACCCCACCUUACUUAGGUUGGGUUUGCAUUUAGAAUAUAAUGAUGCCCGCCAUCGUAUCGCAACACAUUUACAACGCAAUAUCGACACAAAUCGUCGAAUGGUUAAAGCUAAUUAUCAAAUAACAAUUGAUUCAACUGGGAAGGCAAUUAAAAUUGCGCAGACAGCGUAGUACGACACUAUGUUAAAGGCGACUUGCUCGGCUGGGGGCAACCAGCUCUUAAUGCGCGCUCUACAGGCGCCUUACCUCGUAGACGUCGCAUGGGUCUACUACCUCGUAACUACCUGGUGGGCUACUUGAAGUAAAUCCCCCCUGUAUCCGCUUUUUUGGAAUAGUAGCCUUUGUGGAAGACACAUCGCCUUGUUGCUUAUCAGCCGAGUUGACAUUUAGCAUAUAAAUUAAAUAUAUACUAAUCAUAAACAUAAGCAUCGAUUUUAUCAGACACUAUUUUUGUUUAUUACAAUGUGUAAAUGGUAGGGUCCCCUCUUGAUUAUUUUAUUGUCAUUGUGCAAUAGGCAGAUAUUUUGUAAAUCUACUAAUAUCUCAACUGUGACGUCUCGAUGUUUUCUUAGAAUGUUUUCACACCAAAGUGUAGUAUUGUUAUGAAUGUAAAUUUUAUAAAUUAUAAAAGUAUUUGAGAGAAAGUUUAUCACUGCCCAAAUGAUAUAUAAAUAUAAUAAAAUAAUGUAUAUUUUCAUAUUAGGUCCAGAGCCAUUUAAAACAUGCAUUGUAUUUUUGUGAUAAACUAAAAUUUGUUCAUCAGAGGUGGACUCUGAUUUGUGCCUGAUUGAAUUAAUAUAUUUUUGCCUGUAUAUAUUAUUUCAGACAAGUUAUCGUAAGGUAUAUUUAUUUGCUUGAACACACUCAAGUCAGUGGUAUUGACAGAUAUUUUAUUCUAAUUUAAAAAUUUUUAGGGUUAAGAUUUUAACAUAGAUAAUGUAAUAUUGGUAGUCCAAAAAUUAUUUCAGUAUAUAAAAAAAUUCAUCAAUUUCCUGGUUCUAAUUAAGACAGGUUAGGUGUACCAAUAAUGGAAUGUCCAAUAUUUGAUGCUGUUCAAAAAUUAUUUAAUUUAAAAUUGCCGUCAAACUUCCAGAUCAAAUAGAUGAAUAUAAUUUUUCACAUUCGAACAGCUGCUACUACGCAUGUUUGUCGUCAAUGUUGCAUUGAGUAAAUGUGAAAUUUUCACCAAAUAUAUCAUUCACAAUA